rnacentral:rRNA from 1 species
UACGGAGGGGGUUAGCGUUGUUCGGAAUACUGGGCGUAAAGCGCACGUAGGCGGAUCAGAAAGUUGGGGGUGAAAUCCCGGGGCUCAACCCCGGAACUGCCUCCAAAACUCCUGGUCUUGAGUCGAGAGAGGUGAGUGGAAUUCCGAGUGUAGAGGUGAAAUUCGUAGAUAUUCGGAGAACACCAGUGGCGAAGGCGGCUCACUGGCUCGAUGACGCGGG